rnacentral:rRNA from 1 species
UACGGAGGGUGCAAGCGUUAUCCGGAUUCACUGGGUUUAAAGGGUGCGUAGGCGGCCAGGCAAGUCAGUGGUGAAAUCUCUGGGCUUAACCCAGAAACUGCCGUUGAUACUAUUUGUCUUGAAUAUCCUGGAGGUAGGCGGAAUAUGUCAUGUAGCGGUGAAAUGCUUAGAUAUGACAUAGAACACCGAUAGCGAAGGCAGCUUACUACAGGAUGAUUGACGCUGAGGCACGAAAGCGUGGGGAGCAAACAGG